rnacentral:lncRNA from 1 species
AACUAAAUAAAAAAAACAUAUAAAACAUAUCCGAAGAUAAAUUAAAGUUUAAAAAAAUUGAUAAAUAAACUCAUACCACCAAUAACUAAUUAAAUUUAAAAUAUAAAUAUAAAUUUUAUUCAAUUUAGUGUGACGCGCAUUGCACGUGCACUAUAACUAGUAUAUAUAAAAAUUUGAUGUUAUAGUUGAAUUUGUAUUUUAAAAAUUUAGAUUUAAUUUAAUAUAUUUUGAAAUAUUGAUAAAAAAUAAUUGUUUUGGGUUCGGAUUCGGAUUCGAGUUUGGAUUUCGGAUUUUUAGUUGGGUUCGGGUUUGAACAUGAAUUUUUAAAAUUCGUCGGCUCUCAAAUUUGGAGUCAGGUUCGGAUUCGAAUUUUUAAAAAUCCGCCGGAAUCCGACCCUGACAUUUCUAAUUCCUCUU